UUCUAGGGACAAAAAAUAAGAGAUGUUUGUUUUUAAAACUUAUAUUUGUGGUUAAAAUUCGAUAAAAAUGAAUAUUAAUAACAUUUAACAACAAUUCUUACUUUUGUACAAGGCUGAAGGUAAAUCUA